UGGAAUGACCGUGUCGGCACGUGAGCGGUGAUGGAUUCGCAUGCCACGGCGGGCUCCCUGCCACUGUGCAGCCAACCGCCGUCGUUGCAGCCCCUUCACUCGUGCUCCAACCACUCGGAGCCUCCCGCGUUGCCUGUACAACAUACCCGGUUCUNGGGCAAAUGACUUCGUCCAACAUGCUCGUCCGCUCCCCUCGCCUUUGUGCGGGCGCGGAGCGGCAAUGUCGGCGGUCCUCGUGCUCCCUCGGACGGACGACGGCACGGCUUUGGCCCCUCGUCUCGUCCCGAUCGGCCCUCGGGGAUUCGCCAGCGCUCGCGGACACGGUAGACAAUGUUGGCUCGGGGCUUUCGUAGCCCCCGCACCACGAUCGGUCGGCUCACUUCGCCGCCCUCGACGAGACGACCGUCGGGCCCGUUGUCCCCUCACCACUCGCCUAACGG
rnacentral:misc_RNA from 1 species